rnacentral:rRNA from 1 species
CACGUAGGGGGCAAGCGUUGUCCGGAAUCAUUGGGCGUAAAGAGCUCGUAGGCGGCUCAGUAAGUCGGGUGUGAAACCCUCAGGCUCAACCUGGGGACGCCACCCGAUACUGCUGUGGCUAGAGUCCAGUAGGGGAGUGUGGAAUUCCCGGUGUAGCGGUGAAAUGCGUAGAUAUCGGAAGGAACACCAGUGGCGAAAGCGGCUUCCUGGUCCAGCACCGACGUUCAGGCACGAAAGCGUGGGGAGCAAACAGG